GAUGAACGCUGGCGGCGUGCCUAAUACAUGCAAGUCGAGCGAACGGACGAGAAGCUUGCUUCUCUGAUGUUAGCGGCGGACGGGUGAGUAACACGUGGAUAACCUACCUAUAAGACUGGGAUAACUUCGGGAAACCGGAGCUAAUACCGGAUAAUAUUUUGAACCGCAUGGUUCAAAAGUGAAAGACGGUCUUGCUGUCACUUAUAGAUGGAUCCGCGCUGCAUUAGCUAGUUGGUAAGGUAACGGCUUACCAAGGCAACGAUGCAUAGCCGACCUGAGAGGGUGAUCGGCCACACUGGAACUGAGACACGGUCCAGACUCCUACGGGAGGCAGCAGUAGGGAAUCGUCCGCAAUGGGCGAAAGCCUGACGGAGCAGCGCCGCGUGAGUGAUGAAGGUCUUCGGAUCGUAAAACUCUGUUAGUAGGGAAGAACAUAUGUGGAAGUAACGGUGCACAUCGUGACGGUACCUAAUCAGAAAGCCACGGCUAACUACGUG
rnacentral:rRNA from 1 species